UCAAAUAUCAUGGAUUUAAUUGCAACAUUUUCAUCAUUCCCACAAUUCAAUCAAAUAUCAUGGGUUUAACAGUAACAUUUUCAUCAUUCCUACAAUUCAAUCACAUUUCAUGGGUUUAACAAUAACAUUUUCAUCAUUCACAAAAUUCUAUCAAAUUGCAUGGGUUUAAAAAUAAAAUCUUCAUCAUUCACACAAUUCAAUCAAAUUUCAUGGGUUUAACAACAACAUUUUCAUAAUUCACACAAUUCAUUCAAAUUUCAUGGAUUUAAUAGCAACAUUUUCAUCAUUCCCACAAUUCAAUCAAAUUUCAUGGGUUUAACAACAAAAUUUUCAUCAUUCACACAAUUCAAUCAAAUUUCAUGGGUUUAACAACAACAUUUUCAUAAUUCACACAAUUCAAUCAAAUUUCAUGGAUUUAACAACAAAAUCAUCAUCAUUCACACAAUUCAAUCAAAUUUCAUGGGUUUAACAACAACAUUUUCAUAAUUCACACAAUUCAUUCAAAUUUCAUGGAUUUAAUAGCAACAUUUUCAUCAUUCCCACAAUUCAAUCAAAUUUCAUGGGUUUAACAACAACAUUUUCAUCAUUCACACAAUUCAAUCAAAUUUCAUGGGUUUAACAACAACAUUUUCAUAAUUCACACAAUUCAAUCAAAUUUCAUGGAUUUAACAACAAAAUCAUCAUCAUUCACACAAUUCAAUCAAAUUUCAUGGGUUUAACAACAACAUUUUCAUAAUUCACAAAAUUCAUUCAAAUUUCAUUGAUUUAAUAGCAACAUUUUCAUCAUUCCCACAAUUCAAUCAAAUUUCAUGGGUUUAACAACAAAAUUUUCAUCAUUCACACAAUUCAAUCAAAUUUCAUGGGUUUAACAACAACAUUUUCAUAAUUCACACAAUUCAUUCAAAUUUCAUGGAUUUAAUAGCAACAUUUUCAUCAUUCCCACAAUUCAAUCAAAUUUCAUGGGUUUAACAACAACAUUUUCAUCAUUCACACAAUUCAAUCAAAUUUCAUGGGUUUAACAACAACAUUUUCAUCAUUCACACAAUUCAAUCAAAUUUCAUGGGUUUAACAACAACAUUUUCAUCAUUCACACAAUUCAAUCAAAUUUCAUGGGUUUAACAACAACAUUUUCAUCAUUCACACAAUUCAAUCAAAUUUCAUGGGUUUAACAACAACAUUUUCAUCAUUCACACAAUUCAAUCAAAUUUCAUGGGUUUAACAACAACAUUUUCAUCAUUCACACAAUUCAAUCAAAUUUCAUGGGUUUAACAACAACAUUUUCAUCAUUCACACAAUUCAAUCAAAUUUCAUGGGUUUAACAACAACAUUUUCAUCAUUCACACAAUUCAAUCAAAUUUCAUGGGUUUAACAACAACAUUUUCAUCAUUCACACAAUUCAAUCAAAUUUCAUGGGUUUAACAACAACAUUUUCAUCAUUCACACAAUUCAAUCAAAUUUCAUGGGUUUAACAACAACAUUUUCAUCAUUCACACAAUUCAAUCAAAUUUCAUGGGUUUAACAACAACAUUUUCAUCAUUCACACAAUUCAAUCAAAUUUCAUGGGUUUAACAACAACAUUUUCAUCAUUCACAAAAUUCAAUCAAAUUUCAUGGGUUUAACAACAACAUUUUCAUCAUUCACACAAUUCAAUCAAAUUUCAUGGGUUUAACAACAACAUUUUCAUCAUUCACACAAUUCAAUCAAAUUUCAUGGGUUUAACAACAACAUUUUCAUCAUUCACACAAUUCAAUCAAAUUUCAUGGGUUUAACAACAACAUUUUCAUCAUUCACACAAUUCAAUCAAAUUUCAUGGGUUUAACAACAACAUUUUCAUCAUUCACACAAUUCAAUCAAAUUUCAUGGGUUUAACAACAACAUUUUCAUCAUUCACACAAUUCAAUCAAAUUUCAUGGGUUUAACAACAACAUUUUCAUCAUUCACACAAUUCAAUCAAAUUUCAUGGGUUUAACAACAACAUUUUCAUCAUUCACACAAUUCAAUCAAAUUUCAUGGGUUUAACAACAACAUUUUCAUCAUUCACACAAUUCAAUCAAAUUUCAUGGGUUUAACAACAACAUUUUCAUCAUUCACACAAUUCAAUCAAAUUUCAUGGGUUUAACAACAACAUUUUCAUCAUUCACACAAUUCAAUCAAAUUUCAUGGGUUUAACAACAACAUUUUCAUCAUUCACACAAUUCAAUCAAAUUUCAUGGGUUUAACAACAACAUUUUCAUCAUUCACACAAUUCAUUCAAAUUUCAUGGAUUUAAUAGCAACAUUUUCAUCAUUCCCACAAUUCAAUCAAAUAUCAUGGGUUUAACAGUAACAUUUUCAUCAUUCCCACAAUUCAAUCAAAUAUCAUGGGUUUAACAGUAACAUUUUCAACAACAAAAUUUCAUUGGUUUAACAAUAACAUUUUCAUCAUUCACAAAAUUCUAUCAAAUUUCAUGGGUAUAACAACAACAUUUUCAUUAUUCACAAAAUUCUAUCAAAUUUCAUGGUUUUAACAGUAACAUUUUCUUCAUUUCCACAAUUCAUUUAAAUUUCAUGGGUUAAACAGCAACAAUUUCAUCAUUCCCACAAUUCAAUCAAAUUUCAUGGGUUUAACAACAAAAUCAUCAUCAUUCACACAAUUCAAUCAAAUUUCAUGGGUUUAACAACAAGAUUUUCAUAAUUCACAAAAUUCAUUCAAAUAUCAUGGAUUUAACAGUAACAUUUUCAUCAUUCCUACAAUUCAAUCAAAUUUCAUGGGUUUAACAAUAACAUUUUCAUCAUUCACAAAAUUCUAUCAAAUUGCAUGCGUUUAAAAAUAAAAUCUUCAUCAUUCACACAAUUCAAUCAAAUUUCAUGGGUUUAACAACAACAAUUUC
rnacentral:lncRNA from 1 species